UUAAGUUCAGCGGGUAUUCCUACCUGAUCCGAGGUCAACCUUGAGAUGGAGUGUUUUACGGCAGGCGACCGCCCGGCGUCCGUAGCGAGGUAAGUUACUACGCUUGGAACCGAGACGGCACCGCCGCUGUCUUUCGGGGGCCGCAAAGCGCGGAGCCCCAACACCAGGCCGGGCCUGAGGGUUGAAAUGACGCUCGAACA
rnacentral:misc_RNA from 1 species